GACGAACGCUGGCGGCGUGCCUAACACAUGCAAGUCGAGCGGGGGGAGUACUUCGGUACAAACCUAGCGGCGGACGGGUGAGUAACACGUGGGUAACCUGCCUCAAAGUGGGGGAUAGCCUUCCGAAAGGAAGAUUAAUACCGCAUAACCCAUAGCUUCCGCAUGGAAGCAAUGGUAAAGAUUUAUCGCUUUGAGAUGGACCCGCGGCGCAUUAGCUAGUUGGUGAGGUAACGGCUCACCAAGGCCACGAUGCGUAGCCGGCCUGGGAGGGUGAUCGGCCACAUUGGAACUGAGACACGGUCCAGACUCCUACGGGAGGCAGCAGUGGGGAAUAUUGCACAAUGGGCGAAAGCCUGAUGCAGCAACGCCGCGUGAGUGAUGAAGGCCUUCGGGUUGUAAAGCUCUGUCUUUUGGGACGAUAAUGACGGUACCAAAGGAGGAAGCCACGGCUAACUACGUGCCAGCCGCCGCCGUAAUAC
rnacentral:rRNA from 1 species